UUUUUUGGCUGCAGGAGCAAGUAACGAUGAGUCUUCUCUUUCAACUGCUGUUAAAUCUGAGAUAUCCUGACUCUUGAGCUAAGAAGACAAAAGAAACCCUUUAUAUAUUUGGCCUACUUUCCAGAUUUGGGUAAGAGGAACUCACAAUUCAACUCAUACAGGAAUACGAGAAGUAGAUGAGAGUGAAGCUAAAGAGUCAGGGUGAGUUCGACUAUCCUAGCUUGGGACCAACCAGGAAGCCUGUCGAGAAGCCAGUGACACAACUCCGGCCUCAUGGAUACAUCUCUCCCUACCUCGCCUUCUUCAGCCGCGGCUUCUUUCAAGUCCCCAUCUCCGUCUCCAUCCGUUUCCU